AUGUAGUGUGACAUGCCUGUUUGAGAAUUACUUUGAUGUAUAUUUAAUUAUUAUUUAAUUGUUUUUGGGUAACGGGGUGUUACACUGCA
rnacentral:pre_miRNA from 1 species